rnacentral:rRNA from 1 species
UUGUAAUUGGAAUGAUAGAAAUUUAAACACUUUUUAAAGUAUCAAUUGGAGGGCAAGUCUGGUGCCAGCAGCCGCGGUAAUUCCAGCUCCAAUAGCGUAUAUUAAAAUUGUUGCAGUUAAAAAGCUCGUAGUUGAAUUUCUGCUAUAAAUAACCAGUCUGCUUUUAAUAGAAGUAGUACCUUGGUCUGUUUUUAGCAAUAAUGUCCUUUGAAAUGUUUUUUACUUUAUUGUAAUAAAUUAUAUUCAGGAUUUUUACUUUGAGAAAAUUAGAGUGUUUCUAGCAGGCUAACGCUUUGAAUACUGCAGCAUGGAAUAAUAAAAUAGGAUUUUGGUUCUACAUUAUUGGUUUUAAGAGCUAAAUUAAUGAUUGAUAGGGACAGUUGGGGGCAUUUGUAUUUAACUGUCAGAGGUGAAAUUCUUAGAUUUGUUAAAGACAAACUACUGCGAAAGCAUUUGUCAAAGAUGUUUUCAUUAAUCAAGAACGAAAGUUAGGGGAUCGAAGACGAUCAGAUACCGUCGUAGUCUUAACUAUAAACUAUGCCGACUAGAGAUUGGAGGUCG